AUUGGACGCUGGCGGCAUGCUUUACACAUGCAAGUCGAACGGUAACAGGUUAAGCUGACGAGUGGCGAACGGGUGAGUAAUGCAUCGGAACGUGCCCGAUCGUGGGGGAUAACGCAGCGAAAGCUGCGCUAAUACCGCAUACGAUCUGAGGAUGAAAGCGGGGGACCGUAAGGCCUCGCGCGAUCGGAGCGGCCGAUGUCAGAUUAGGUAGUUGGUGGGGUAAAGGCUCACCAAGCCAACGAUCUGUAGCUGGUCUGAGAGGACGACCAGCCACACUGGGACUGAGACACGGCCCAGACUCCUACGGGAGGCAGCAGUGGGGAAUUUUGGACAAUGGGCGAAAGCCUGAUCCAGCAAUGCCGCGUGCAGGAAGAAGGCCUUCGGGUUGUAAACUGCUUUUGUACGGAGCGAGAAGGUUCUCUCUAAUACAGAGGGCUCAUGACGGUACCGUAAGAAUAAGCACCGGCUAACUACGUGCCAGCCGCCGCAGUAAAAC
rnacentral:rRNA from 1 species